CGCGCAGGCGGCGCGGGUGCGCGGUGCGGCGCUGGUAUCCAGAGGACGCGGUCACCGCCUCUGGCAUUUGUCGUUCUGCGCUUCUCCGCAAGGACCCUCUGUUAGGCAGGCGCCCACCGUAAGCCUCCCGGGCCUUGUGAACCUGCAAACCCAAGUCUGAGAGACGAUCCGCCUUCAGCGCUUUCCAGCUUGGCAGAGAGGCUUUCCCGGCGGGGAUCUUUGGUUGGCGCUGGCGAUGCGCGGGGAAGAAAGGCGAGGAGCGGCGUCCAGGCUGGGUGAUGUCCCAGCACGAGUAGGCGGGAUGCGCUCGCUUGGUCCUCCGGGCGCCCGGUCCCUGCCCGCGUCGCGCGCCCACCCCUGGGGACGAGAAGGCGGCCGCCUGAGGACCCCCGCCCGCGACCUCCGCGAGUCUGGAGCGCAGAGGACAGGGUCUGGCUGCUCUUUGGCCUUGGAUGGAAAGUGGGGAAUUGGGUGGGGGGCUGCGGACCCCUUAACGUGGAUUACUUGGUGUGUAUCAGCUGGGCUCAGAAGACCCACGACCUCUUCUCCAUCCGUGGAUUGAUUUGUUCUGCUUAACAGCUGGGUCGCCAAGCUGGAGGUAUUUUUCCCUCUCCACCCUGGUCUUCUCCUGUAACGUGUGGCCGCCUUUUCCAGCACGGCCUCCUGCCUUCCUGGUGCACUUUUUGGAGAACGUGGUGGAAUCAGAGGUUUCUGGCUGACUCGGUGGGUGCUUUGAACCAGGAAAGGACAAGAAAGAGGUGCCACCUCCUGAGUCCUGGUUCCUGCGGCUCCGUCGAAUCUGCAGUGAAGGCCUUUGGGAAGCGUGGGUUAUGUGGGUCCAGGGGUCCCAUCCUCCCGUGGAGGCCCUUGACCUGAGGAUCACUAACUCACACCCCACCGACUUCCGGCCCCCAACAAGGGCAGUGUUCCUCUUGCUCCAUUCUGCUCUGAAGUCCCCCAAACCGCUUCCUGGGGCUGCUUAGUGAAAUACAAGGCUCAUCUCUGAGGACCUCUACAGGGCUGGAUGGGAAGGACUGAUCCACAUUCCCACCAGGAAGUUUAGCAGAACCCCCGCGUGCCACCUGGACCCCUUGGAAGGACCUGGCUCAGGCUGGACCACCUCUUGAGAGGCAGGAGCUCUGGAUUUGAUCAAGAAUUCUUUGCUGAGCAUGGUGCCUCAUGCCUAUAAUCCCAACACUUUGGGAGGCCAGUGUGGGAGGAUCUCUUGAGCCCAGGAGUUCAAGACUAGCCUGGGCAACACAGAGAGACCCCAUCUCUAAAAUAAUAAUAAUAAUAAAAUAAAAAAUUAGCAGGGCAUGGUGGCAUGUGCCUGUAGUCCCAGCUACCCAGGAGGCUGAGGCAAGAGGAUGGCUGGAGCCUGGGAUGUUGAGGCUGCAAUGAACUGUGAUUACCCCACUGCACUCCAGCCUGGGCAAAAGAGCGAGAGACCCUGUCUCAAAUAAUAAUAAUAAUAAUAAUCUUAUUUUGGAGAAUAAAGAGACCUCUGGAUUUGAGGUGCCAUUUGGGUAGAAAGAAAAGACGUUUACACCGAGAAAUAGUCUGUGUUGCCCUGAAGGAGCAGAGGGAUGCAUCGCUGGAGGUGACCUACAGUUGAAGAAGACUCAUUAUGACAGACCUUGUCCUUCUUCCUUGUGGAAAGUGUUUCCUCUGCUGCUACUGCUCAUGAGACUCUUCCCCCUCCCUGUCCCAGGGAACCAAAGGGCUUUCUACCACACCCUUUCUUGCCCCCCGCCUCCCAUGUCUGCUGUGCCUUUGUACUCAGCAAUUCUUGUUUGCUCCAUUAUCUUCCAGCCGGAUACAGAGUGAAUAGUUAACCACACUUAGGUCAAAUAGGAUCUAAAUUUUUGUUCCUGCUCCGUGUAAAGAGGCCAGUGUUUGUGUGUUGCAAGCAGCCUUGGAAUAGUAACUCUUCUCAUUUGUUUGGGAUCUGGCCACCAAGUUCCAGAAUGAUACACGGAUCAGUGCAGAAGUUCAUCAGGCUCUCGGACCUUAGGGCUGUUGGAGAAGGCUUCAGCAGCAGAACUGAUGGUGAAGGCUCGUGUUCUCCAUCCUCAACUUUCUUUGCUUCGAUCAUACACAAGAAUACAUUUGGAAGGGCAAAAAAUGAACACUGUCGUUCAUUGCAGCCGUGUUUUGUGACACAGAUGCACAGUCUGCUGUGAAGACCUUCUCUCAAGUGGCAUUUGGGAGUCCAUGCCAGAUCAUGGUGCUUCAUGAGAGACUGACAGCUAUCAGGGGUUGUGGCACUUAGUGAGGACUCUCCUCCCCCAGUGUGUGCUGAUGACACAUACACACCUGACAAUAGCUUGAGUCUUCUCUGUUCCUUUUACUCUGUAGCCAACAUACACAUGAUUUAAAACCCUUUCUAAAUAUCUAUCAUGGUUCAUCCUUGUCCAAAUGCAGAGUCAGAGCUAUUUGUACUUCAUUAUUAUUUCCAAGGCGAAUAGUUGGCUUUCUUUUUGCAAAAAUAAUUAAAGUUUUUGUAUGUUG
rnacentral:lncRNA from 10 species